GACGAACGCUGGCGGCGUGCCUAAUACAUGCAAGUCGAGCGCAGGAAGCUGACGGAACUCUUCGGAGGGAAGGCAGUGGAAUGAGCGGCGGACGGGUGAGUAACACGUAAGGAACCUGCCCAAGGAUUGGGAUAACUCCGAGAAAUCGGAGCUAAUACCGGAUAGUUCAACGGACCGCAUGGUCCGCUGAUGAAAGGCGCUCCGGCGUCACCUUGAGAUGGCCUUGCGGUGCAUUAGCUAGUUGGUGGGGUAACGGCCCACCAAGGCGACGAUGCAUGGCGGGCCUGGGAGGGUGAUCGGCCGCACUGGGACUGAGACACGGCCCAGACUCCUACGGGAGGCAGCAGUAGGGAAUCUUCAACAAUGGACGAAAGUCUGAUGGAGCAACGCCGCGUGAGUGAUGAAGGUUUUUGGAUCGUAAAACUCUGUUGUAAGGGAAGAACACGUACGAGAGGAAAUGCUCGUACCUUGACGGUACCUUACGAGAAAGCCACGGCUAACUACGUGCCAGCCGCCGCGGUAA
rnacentral:rRNA from 1 species